UAUUUAUUUUUGUGAUUAUUUUUAGCAGAGUACUGCCUCUGCUGCUCCAGCACAAAUGGUGCAACAACCUGGCCCUACUGUACCUGCUCAAGAUGUGAUGGAGACGAGACAACUUAAGGCCCAGCCCCAGCCCCCGUCUACUCCACCAGUGGCAUCAAAGAUUUCACCGCAAUUGUCAAUGGAGCGGUUUAAAUCAAGAUUGGCAAAUUUGCAUCAACAUCACCAAGACUGCUUUAACCGCUUUAACGAAGCAGAAAGUGAAUUAAGACAAAAGACUUGCCUACAAAAAUCAAAGCAUUGUGAGUAUUUAACCUAAUUAAUAUAUCAUUAUUUAAACCUACCACAAACUGCCAUUUGGAGGUUUAAUGGUGCAUUUUCUUUUGAAUUUUAUAUAUUCAUUCUAAUCUUCAUACUCUCCUGAACAGCGUUCAUCACCUGCAACAGCAACACUCACAUCAUCUCCAUCCUGUCCUGAGCAACCUACAUCAUGUGCAACUGCAACACUCAUGACAUCUUCAUACUCUCCUGAGCAGCGUUUAUCACCUGCAACAGCAACACUCAAAACAUUCUGUUCAGCAAAGAGUCUAUAAUGAAUUCUGUUUUGAUUCUCCUUUUACUCUUACUUCAUAAAAACAUUUUACUACAUGAAAAAAAAAAAAAAAAA